UACAGAGGGUGCGAGCGUUAAUCGGAUUUACUGGGCGUAAAGCGUGCGUAGGUGGUGAGUUAAGUCUGAUGUGAAAUCCCCGGGCUCAACCUGGGAAUGGCAUUGGAUACUGGCUCGCUCGAGUGCGGUAGAGGGUGGUGGAAUUCCCGGUGUAGCAGUGAAAUGCGUAGAGAUCGGGAGGAACAUCUGUGGCGAAGGCGGCCACCUGGACCAGCACUGACACUGAGGCACGAAAGCGUGGGGAGCAAACAGG
rnacentral:rRNA from 1 species